AUCAAUUUGCACCCAUAUUGGAAUGUCCCAGGAAGAAAGUGUUGGAGUUGAACAAUAUAUGAACUCUGAAUGGAGAGUAGUUGCAAUGAGGAAAAAGGAUGUUGCAGAAUCGUGAACAUCUUUGAACAACCACUAAUUCAAAGGUUCUGAAAAUUUCCUUCUACUGAACUGAGUUGUGGAGCUACAAAAGAAAGAACGAUAGAAUUUGUACAGUAGUCAAAGCUUGCUGCAAGACAAGAUAAAAAGAG